CCAGGAUCCAGUCUCAGCCUCCAGCAGGAAACCAACAUGCGGAAGCUGUAAGCCUGCCCCUUCCGAUGGCCAUAUAAAUCCUGGGCACUGGACAGUAAUUCAACACUCCUGGGUCGGCUCUGUUUAGAAAGAUCUUGACAGAACCGUUUCCCACAAGUUAUCAGAAUGAUUGUGUCGACACUUUUUCUCAGUUUGUUACUGACUUUCUUAUCAUGUGUCCAGCCGGAGGUUGUUUUGACCCAGCCAGAGGCAGAGACUGGCCGUCCCGCAGGCAGCCUGAAACUGACCUGUAAAAUCAGCGGGUUCAAUCUUGGCAGCUACUACAUGAGCUGGGUCCGACAGGUUCCCGGACAGGGUCUGGAGUGGCUGGUUAGCUACUAUACUUCAUCCAGCAGUUACUAUGCACCAGCGAUUAAGGGUCGAUUUACUGUGUCCAAAGACAUUUCAAACAACAUUUUCGCGUUGGACAUGGAGAACCUGAAGAUCGAAGACACCGCCAUCUAUUACUGUGCAGGAGACCACAGCGAGAGGAGCCAGGGCUGGACCCGUUCAAAAACAGCUCGAGGGAACAUAUUGUCAAUUCCAUCAUAA